rnacentral:lncRNA from 1 species
CUCUUUGUGCGGUAAACUCGUGGCUGCUGAGGAUGGCCGUCGCGGAGUUCGCCUGGCUUUUGCUGCGAAACCGUCCCCAAAGGCGGGGGAGGGUGCCGCCCGGCACAUUUGCUUAGCUGCGCACAUGCAGGCCCCUGGUGCUCGAAGGAAGAUCCGCAGCGCGACGAGGGAGUGUAAGAUGUCCACAUCUUAAAUGGCCGCACUCGCCGCGUAAGUCCAGGGCCAAGGAUCGAAGCCCAGCCGCAGAAGCACGGAAUCCUUUAACCUGCAUCAGGCUGGGGAUGGAACCCGCACCUCCGCAGCGACCCCAGCAGCUGCAGUCGUAUUUUUAACACAGUGCGCAAGAGCGGGAACUCCUUAUUUUUGAAUAAGGCCCGAGAGCUCCUUAUCUUUGAAGCCCAGCCAGGGGCUGUCCCUUUCAGAGAUCUGGGCUAGACUGGAAAGAUUCUGGAAGGCCUAAGGUUUGGAAUUCUCUUGAAGAGCUGACAGGAUGGCUGUGGUGCCCAUAUAGUGGUUCCUGCCACUUGAACAGGCUGUGAGAAGUGGAGAAGAUGCCUUCAGCUUGGGUUCUGUGAACUUUGCAGACACAAAAGGAUGUCCUCUCUGGUGUUGGACAGAUCUUGGGAGCUUCACAUCUUUCCUGCAUUAACACAUGGGAGCAGCUAUCAACUCUUCCGAGCCAGGCGAACUGCCUAGAAAUUUGGGGACCCUUAAAUAUCAAUUAGGUGGUCUUCACUUCUUUACUUGGUUUUAGCAAAAGGAUUCCAAUAAAAUAUUUAAAAGUAAAUGAAAAAUAGAUUGGUCUUAGGCCAUAGCAACCACCAGAGCCACUGCAGUGACAACACCAGAUCCUUGACCUGCUGCGCCUCAAGGGAAAUCCUGAUAGUUGAGGUUUUUAUGAGACUGUUACAACAGUUAUCCAUUUGGCUUUUGAUGAGUUUGGUGAAAACAUAGAUUGUUCAGAUAUAUUUUGAAAGAAUUCUAUUCCUGGUGGUUGCCAGGGGCUGAGGAGGAGAAAAUGAGCAGUUAUUAAUGGGUUUAGAGUUUCAGUUGCCCAGCAUGAAAAGAAUGCAUGGGGGUGAAAGGUGGUAGUUCCACAAUGUUAUGAAUGUAUCAUCAGUGAAUUGUUUGCUUAAAGUGGUAAAAAUGGUAAGUUUUAUGUUUAUUGCACCCCAAUAAAAAAAUGGGGAAAAUCUCUGUGUUCCUUUUUGUCACUAUCACAAAGGGGGUUCUAAAAUUGGAAUUUCACAGUUCAAGGAAUUGGACAUUGAAGGUGACUUGUGUCAUUUGCUCUAUAAAUUGGUCCCAGCUGACAUUUGAAUAGCAGUCUCUUUAAUCACUCACCUUUAAAAAACUGCUUAUCUUCUGUGUUUACUUUCCCAGAGAAACAUUUCCAGCUUGGUUCCAACUUUUGUUUUCCUUAGUCGCUUUUGCCAGAGUUGUAUUUUUUAUUUUUUUUUCUGCCUUGCCCUAUUUUUGGUGCUCCUACAGGACAAGGUCACUUGCCCUGUAGCUAUAUAAUCUGUGUAAUCUUAGCAGCCACCAUAUAUUUAUUGCUUUGAUCUGUGCUAAACUUUUUAUGUUUCAUUCACUUCAUUGAAUCCUUAAAACCUUGCAAAGCAGAUAUUAUCUACCUGCUCAGGGAAAGCUCAGGGAUGUUAAUUUUCUUAAGGUCAUAGAGAUAAGGAGGUAACAGUCAGGCUUCAAAGUCUUUUCUUAACACCCAGGGGCCUAGCUUUAAAACAUUACCAAUAACUGGAGCAGACCUGCCUUUGAUUAAGUUUUUCUUUUUCUCCCACUGAAACAACCCAGCUGAAAUGUGACUUAUAUUCUCUGAUUUUUCUUUGUACUCUGAGUGAGUCCCUAAACAAUAUAUUCGGUGUAAUUUAUUCAUGUAGU